rnacentral:rRNA from 1 species
GGAGGGCAAGUCUGGUGCCAGCAGCCGCGGUAAUUCCAGCUCCAAUAGCGUAUAUUAAAGUUGUUGCAGUUAAAAAGCCCGUAGUUGAACUUCAGGCCUGGCCGGGCGGUCUGCCUAGCGGUAUGURCUGUCUGGCCGGGUCUUACCUCUUGGUGAGCCGGCAUGCCCUUCACUGGGUGUGUCGGGGAAYCAGGAUUUUUACCUUGAGAAAAUUAGAGUGUUCAAAGCAGGCUAUUGCCUGAAUACAUUAGCAUGGAAUAAUAAAAUAGGACGUGUGAUUCUAUUUUGUUGGUUUCUAGAGUCGCCGUAAUGAUUAAUAGGGAUAGUUGGGGGCAUUUGUAUUGCGUUGCUAGAGGUGAAAUUCUUGGAUUUAYGCAAGACAAACUACUGCGAAAGCAUUUGCCAAGGAUGUUUUCAUUAAUCAAGGACGAAGGUUAGGGGAUCGAAAACGAUUAGAUACCGUUGUAGUCUUAACAGUAAACUAUGCCGACUAGGGAUCGGACGACCUCACAUUUAUGUGUCGKUCGGCGCCUUACGGGAAAC